CAAAACCCACGCAACACCCGACUCUGAAAUUUGGGGAAACCAAGUUAGGGCAAAAGGAGAGAAAGUCACAGAGAGUCCUUAGCUUCUUUCUCUUCUCUCUCUUUUCUCUCUGUUGUGUGAAUUUCUUAGUGAAAAAUCGAAAGCUUGUAAGCUGUAAUCGAUUCACGCGUGUCUCCAUACUACUGAUCCGCAAAUUUCUUCAGAUAAAGCCCACGCAACACUCGACUCUGAAAUUUGGGGAACCCAGGUUAGGACAAAAGGAGAGAAAGUCACAGAGAGUCCUUAGCUUCGCUCUCUUCUCUCUCUUUUCUCUCUGUUGUGUGAAUUUCUCAAUGAAAAAUCGAAAGCUUGUAAGCUGUAGUCGAUUCACGCGUGUCGCCGUACUACUGAUCCGCAAAUUUCUUCAGAUAAAGCGAUUUCAUCUCCAGGUUCUCGCCUUCAUUUAGAGAUUUCCACUCUGUUAUGAGCUCUCUUACACUAUUCAAGUUAGAUUCGCUUUCUAGUCCUUUUAGCUUCUGUUUGGUUGCUCAGAAAACUGAGGUGUGGCAAUAUGAGCUCUUGGGAAUUAGGACAUGUUUGGGAGACAAAGUUGGAGAAUUCAAGAACAGAUGCCAGAGGCAGUAUAAGCUAUUUGAACCAAAACCCACCUCUCCUGCCACCUAGAGAGCUGUUUUUUAUUUUUUAUU